GUAGGUUUGAAAAGAACACAAGGGGGCGCUGUCCAGCGCCCAAGGGAGCUGGUACCUAAGGAAAAUCCUACCAAUUAUGCUAUGCUCUUUCUACCCAGAAGCAAACUUGACACUCACUGAGGCCCCUGAGGCAUUGCUGACUUGAAGCAGCAGCUGCAGAUGCCUCACCUGCCCAUCCUGCUCCCAGAACUCAACUGAAACACCUAAAACAAGUCCAAGGAGUCAGCCAACUUCCUCCUCCAUGAAGUUGGUGGGAGUACCAGCAAGUUUCCCCGGGAGAAAUGGCCCAGAGCCUAGGUUCUUGGAAGUUCCAUGACCUUGAAGCUUCAUUUGCGCCCUCUAGGGAGGUCAGAGUCCACUUGGGGAUGGGCCUUCCCCUGGGUUCCUGUCUUCAGUGAAAGCUGGAAUGAAUAGGAGGCCCUUGCUGGCUGCAGCUUCUGAGAGGAGGAAGGAUGGGAUUUGCAAAGAUGUCCUCAGAUGGAAGCAUCUUCGUGAACAAACGCAGAAAUGGCUCAAGAGCAGAGGUUUUCCUGCCAAUGAUUUUUGUGGUUUGGAACCAACUUUACAAGAAUGGAGCUGAGCAUAACAUAGCAGACUUUGGUUCCUGGAGCUCUGCCUGAGGCAGCCACCACAACAGCCUCUGCCAUGGCCACCAGGGCCACCUCACUGAGACAAGGACAGCCCUCAUUACUGCUGAGAAUUAUUUCCCUGCUGCGGUGUUGGAGGUGAUUUCACUCAUGCUGCAUCUAUGGGCUUCUUCAGCAAGUCCAGUAAACCAAGGCCUAGAAUUUCUCUGCCAAGAAUUUCUUUAUGCUUUGCCAUAUCUUUGGCAGUUUCUGUCACUCUUUUUUCUUGAUGUGUAACAUUCAUUUAUUCUUCUUACAUGAAACAAUGUUUA